AACACUGUUAACCUGCGGUACCUGCGGAAGGAUCAUUACAGAGUGUAAAAACUCCCAAAACCCAUGUGAACAUACCUUUUUGUUGCUUCGGCGGGAUCGCCCCGGGCGCCUUGUGUGCCCCGGAGUCAGGCGCCCGCCGGGGGACCCAAACUCUUGUUUUUAACGAGUAUCUUCUGAGUAACGUUUUUAAAUAAAUAAAAACUUUCAACAAUGGAUCU
rnacentral:misc_RNA from 1 species